rnacentral:lncRNA from 1 species
AUAUUAUUGUUGCCACUUUAUAGAUGAAAAAACGGAAGCAAAACCAUUAAGUGCCUUCCCCAAGGUCUUAAAAGAAGUCACCAAGAAGGUGGUGUGGCUCAAGUCUCCUGACUCCAGUUUACUAUUUCCCACAAUAAUGUUGGAAAACCACAUUGGAACGGGAAGACUCAUUCCAAGUACUGCUGUCACACCAGCAAGCUUCAAAGAACAUCCCUGUAGCUAAAUGGUGUUCAAAGUAAACAUGGAGAACAGAAAGCAUCCAUCUCUACCUAGUGGGGCAAAAAAUGACUGAAUUCCCAUACCAUAUAAAUACCCCAUGAAAACACAGAGGAAUCCUUGAUCCACCCAGCAUUCACUGAGUAUCUGCCUCGUGGCAAGCACUGCGGAUGUGCUUGGAUACAAAGAUAAAUAAAACGUGGGCUCCACUCCCAGCAGUUCAACAUCUAGCCGUCUUUGUCCCAUGCUCUUAAAUCUUGCUAAGGCUUGGGUUUUGUUUGUAAUAGAAAUUCUAAAGCAGGGACAGAAGAAGUUAUCUUUUCUAAAUUGCCCACCUCUGUUGUCUAAUUAUUCCACUGAGGAAAACACUUGGUCCUGGAUUACUUCGCUGAGCUCAGAUAUGUUUUGCUGACACACAGAGUCUGGGCAGCAUCCAGCCCCCCGUUUACUCCCUGGUCUUUAAGUCUAGUAAGUAUUUUAUCAUUUACACCUUUCGAUGUCCAAAGAGAGUGCCGCUCGGGGUUUAACACAUGUAAUUUCCUUUACUACCUCCCCAAAUAACAGGGUCAUUUCAGGACCAGGACAGUUUGGCACUGGGACGUGUUUCCCAGAAGUACUAAUAGUUCGAGAGAGGAGCAAGUGUCUUCACAUCUGCAGGUCUGGGUGCCGAACUUUCUACUGUCGAAGCCUGAGGUGAGAUGUCUGGCCGUGUUGCUAGUGCCGUCGCCCUCAAGAAGCCAAACAGGCUCUCAGAGUCUCUCAGGCCCUGCCCCGGACGUGGCCCCGCCCCAGAGCAUGCUGGGCAGGACCUCCCCAUAGAUCCCUCCCAUUGCCAAUGUAUUCCUCCAGAGGAUUCUGAGCUCUGCUUGGUGUUUCCAGCUGUGAUGAGUUUUUAUGAAGAAAAGUUCCCAUCUGAUGACUUCUCUGUUUCCCUCUGGUGGUCCAGCACAUAUGAUCAAUGAGCGAGGAGUGUGGACAAGGUGUAGGAAAGUGGAAUUGUUUUGAGAACUUAGGCAAGCGAGUUGACUGAGAAAACAAUCACAGAAGCUCCCCCGAGACAGGGCCUCUGUUUGUUGCCUCCACUGGGUGUCCCAAGUGCUUGGAAGAGCGUCUGGCACAUGGUAACACAGGAGGAAUGACUGGAUUCUGAGGCAGUGGUGGAGCUGAGCAACAGAUGUAGAACAGAAGUUUAUGGGGCACAAACACACUUGUGUGAUUUUAUCCAAGAGGAAGCAGGCCCUUAUUUGAAGGCAGUUCUAAAACAGGCAGAGUUGGAUUUUGCUAGACAGGACGAAUGAAAGAAGGGGGUAGGCUGUUUAGAGCAGAGCAGUAUAUUUAGGUUUAGGAUUAAGUGAUGCCCCAUGAAGUUUUCCUUGGAGAGGGAGGAAAUGAAGACAAAGGUUGUCAGGUAAGCAGGGGAAAGUAGGAGUGGCUUGUAGUUCCUGAAUAGGUUGAGGCAUUAGCAUGCUGAGGGCAGAAGCUGAGAGGAUAAAGGGAGGAAUGUCAGACUGUAUUUUUUCAGAACACACAAGUGUUGCUGGUGAUAAGUUCUAGGAUAUGGCCAUAACUGAACUGGAAUGAAGGUAAAGGACUCUAAGAUGAGAAGGAGCAGACAGUGAGAGAUCAGAUCAUUGGAUGGUCUAUCUGCAUGGAUGUUGGGGCCUCUGAUUGAUUCCUUCCCCUUUGAGUUCCUUUCCUGUCCACAGAAUUGGCAUUUCCUCUAACUCUAACCUUCAGUCCAUGGCAUGACUCUGGACAAGAAGGCAGAAAUGGGGUGGUGAGAGAGAGGGUUG